rnacentral:rRNA from 1 species
CCUACGGGGGGCUGCAGUGGGGAAUAUUGGACAAUGGGGGGAACCCUGAUCCAGCCAUGCCGCGUGUGUGAAGAAGGCCCUCGGGUUGUAAAGCACUUUCAGUGAGGAAGAACGCCUGGUGGUUAAUACCCAUCAGGAAAGACAUCACUCACAGAAGAAGCACCGGCUAACUCCGUGCCAGCAGCCGCGGUAAUACGGAGGGUGCGAGCGUUAAUCGGAAUUACUGGGCGUAAAGCGCGCGUAGGUGGCUUGAUAAGCCGGUUGUGAAAGCCCCGGGCUCAACCUGGGAACGGCAUCCGGAACUGUCAAGCUAGAGUGCAGGAGAGGAAGGUGGAAUUCCCGGUGUAGCGGUGAAAUGCGUAGAGAUCGGGAGGAAUACCAGUGGCGAAGGCGGCCUUCUGGACUGACACUGACACUGAGGUGCGAAAGCGUGGGUAGCAAACAGGAUUAGAUACCCUAGUAGUC